GAUAAAAACCCACAGCCAUACACUAGCUGGCCUGUCCUGAGGGUUGUGAGGCACAAAAUGCUAGGAGACUAGAGAAGUAAGAAAUGUCUUGACAUGAGGAGAAAUCAAGGAAAGCAUGGUUUUAGAACAUGUGUGGGAUGUUUUUUGUAUCGAGACUGAAGAGGCUUUUUAAAGUGGAGGGAAGGCAAACUGAGGCAUAGAGAUGCCAAUACCAGGUCUUGUCAGGAAGAACAGAGUCCAAUUUGGCUGCAGGAUAGGGCAUAUGUAGGGGAGGGGAUAAGACUGGCAUGGGGGCAGAGGGGGACUUGAAUGUCAGGUGACAGAGUCAAAGCUUGCACUCAAGUAGGUGAUUGAUAGGUGAGGGGUGGGAUGUGGGGUUGAGUAGAUUUGCC
rnacentral:lncRNA from 1 species